GAAACGGCAUGCAUAUCAUCAUUUCAUCGGGUCUUGGUAGGAUAGCGCGACCAGCUACUCCAAAAUCCUUGUUCAAAGGUCCUGAACGUUCAAACAUGGAGGAAGAGAUUGCUUCAACUUGUCGGCCUUCUCGGAAUCAAACACACAAAGUGUGUAAAGUUAGAAGGAAAUCCUUGUCCUCUAUUUUAUGAGAGUAAAAUCUCACACAACGAUUGUGCAAAACAAUCCAACGUUACCUUUACUGUGUCCAAGAAUUGCCCUGGGUGCACGUUUCGCCCUAGAGAAGUAUUCGACCACAGAGUGCAAGUCA